CUAGACUUAUGCAAGAUAACACAAUACUUAACUAAUUUUUUUUAUAUAUGGAAUAAACAUAACAGAAUUAACAACUAAUAAAAACUAUUUACAAACCUAUACUACUAUGCAACUAUUACACUACACGAAUGCAAACACAUAAUGAACCUAAACUAAACAUGAAACUAAACUAAAAUAUGAAAAACUAACUAAAUAAAUUAAACAUACAACAUAACAAAACUAAACUAACUAACUCCCCCUAACUUAAAAAUUAUAAUGUCCUCAUUGUAGAAAUAAGCAGUCAGGGUAUGAGGACUUCCCUGUAAUCGCCUAAGGUUGAGGUGGUGGUGGCUGUUGUUCUUCAUUGUCUGAAUCAGAAGGUG
rnacentral:lncRNA from 1 species